CCCUGUUCUUGGGGGCACAAGGUAGUAGGGAACAAGGCUGUGAGAAAUCACACUGGCAAAACUAUUCAUUUUAGUAUAUUUGAACUUUAACCAACUUCUGACCUUGAAAACUGGGAACAAGACUUUUGAAGUAGUUAUUGAAAAGAUGCAAGAGGCAAUAGAGAUUUCCUGAAGAGGAAGCAGUGUUGAAGACUCAUAAACUUGGAUGUUCUUAAAGCUUUUCUGCCAUCAGACUAAAACCUGUGAAGAACUCCCGGACUGAGCAUGAAUUCUGAUGUGGUUGGAGCGAUGAAAUGCAGCUGAUAAAACAGAGAAUUCUGUCCCUGACUUUCAGCCUUCCUAACAUCAGGUGCUGGAGGUACUGAUCAACAGAAAAGGUAAUUUAUUUACAUAAUGGAUUUUGGGAUGAACAGUGGUCACAGUGCUUGUCAUGAUUUUCAUUCCUACUUAAUAUUCCUUUGGGAAAUGAACAGUGACACAGUACAAGGUGGGAGAGGAUGUUGAUUCUAGUAUAUGUUCACACAAAAUAAUUUGGCUCUGCAAAAAUUAUCAAUCCAAGUUCCAACUUUAUAACAUGACAUUACAGUAUAAAUAUACUUUUUAAUUCCACUUUGCUAGGAGCUUGCUAGUGGAUUGCCUAGGACAGAAUGGCCAUGGGGAAUUAUACUAUUUUCAAAGAAAUUUUAGUCCUUAUAAUGAUAAAUGUGGGAAAAAGUCAACCACUUUAAAAUACUACUGCACUACCAAGGCUCCUUUCUCUGCAUAUUCUGAAUACUCAGGAAUUCAGACUAAGGAGGUGUUGAAACACUUGUGCUCACUUGGGCAUCACUUGGGAAAAAUGAGGGUUCACUUGGGAAAGACAGCAGCACAGGGCAGGAGAGUGAGGCCAGGACCUCAAUCCAGAAAACUUGCUUUUCAGACAUUUUAGCUGCAGCUGCAGGUGAACUUAAUUGAAAUGGUGAUUGUUCACUACUUCUCGUGAGUCUCCCCACAAUUUCAGGGAUGUAUUUUGGAGGUUACUUCAACACACGUAAAACAUGUGGGACAAUGUACUGGUGUGUCCAUUAGAAAAUAUGAGAAGCAUUGCAAAGCCUGGUUUGAUUUUAUGCAGUGUAAGCAUACAUUUCUGUGACUGUUCCUCAAAUCCUGAUACAGUAAUUCUUCACAUAAGUUCGAAUUUAUUUUCUUCUUGCUUCAUGUGAUUAAUCUUUUAGUGAAAGAAGAAAAGAAAAAAAAA